ensembl:snoRNA U3 Small nucleolar RNA U3
AAGGCUACACUUUUAGGGAUCAUUUCUAUAGUCCAUUAUUAGAGAAGUCUCUCUGAUCAUGUAGAGGAGGAGAAGGCAUAGUGUUCCUUCCUGAGCCUGAAGCCAGUUCUUGGUGUUGCUUUGCUGCAUCUGCCGCUUGCUAUUGACUAUUCUUACUUUCUCCUUGGAGGGAGAAAAAGGGAAGGAACACAGUCGA